GGCAGUGGGCAGGACACGUGGCUCGACAAGACUAAUCGAGAUGGACAUACAAAGUAACACACUGGCGACCAAGAACGACCAAACGCAGAGUAGGUAGACCACAGAGAAGAUGGCUUGACGAUAUAGAACAAUAAGCAGUAAAUAGAUGGUUUCAGAUAGCUCAGGAAAGGACAGCAUGGAGGGGUAUGAAAGAGGACUACAUCCACGAGUGGAUAGGCUGACGAAGAGAGAGAGAGUUUGGGCAUAUGGUGCAACUGGCCAUAAUGUAAUCUAAUCUAGUAAUGUAUUUCAAUGUCAAAUUUGACACAACAUCAUUUCAAUAUUUCCAAUUUUUAAUGUGCUAAAUUUGAAGUGAAUACACCAAUUCAUUUUCGGUACAUCAUAAUUCAGUUGAUCAACAGAGAGAAAGACGUUUUUUAUAAAUUCCUAAUAUCUACAAUGUAAGGAUUCUCACUAACAGCUCCUACUCCUUGAAUACUGGCAUCAGUAUAUAUAGUAAUAUAGGCACUUGGGUCGAAAAUUGCAAGAAUUGGCUCAGAACAAAGGAUGUCCUUAACCUUAUUGAAAGCUUCCUGACAAGCCAAUGACCAAUUGAAUUUUACAUCUUUUCUCAGUAAAUUAUGCAACGGUUCUAAUAAUCUAGCUGAAUCUUUAUAUAUUUGUGAUAAAAAUUAACUUUACCCAAAAAUUGCCUUAUCUUCUUCCGAGUAUCUGGUGGAGAAAAAUUCCUAAUGGUAAUUAAAUUGUCAUUUAUA